ensembl:miRNA
CCUCACCCCCGGGUACCCAGGUCCUCAGCCCUGCUGCACGUUGGACGUAUCUGAGGUGGGGCUUUUCGAAGUCCAGAGGCCACGAAUCAAUGAAUUACUCCAAUCACCGAGGAGGGAGCCUGGGCCCCUGGCAAAUGGUGAUU